AGUGAACGCUGGCGGCAGGCCUAACACAUGCAAGUCGAACGGCAGCACAGUAAGAGCUUGCUCUUACGGGUGGCGAGUGGCGGACGGGUGAGGAAUACAUCGGAAUCUACUUUUUCGUGGGGGAUAACGUAGGGAAACUUACGCUAAUACCGCAUACGACCUACGGGUGAAAGCAGGGGAGCUUCGGACCUUGCGCGAUUGAAUGAGCCGAUGUCGGAUUAGCUAGUUGGCGGGGUAAAGGCACACCAAGGCGACGAUCCGUAGCUGGUCUGAGAGGAUGAUCGGCCACACUGGAACUGAGACACGGUCCAGACUCCUACGGGAGGCAGCAGUGGGGAAUAUUGGGCAAUGGGCGCAAGCCUGAUCCAGCCAUGCCGCGUGGGUGAAGAAGGCCUUCGGGUUGUAAAGCCCUUUUGUUGGGAAAGAAAAGCAGCAUGUUAAUACCCCGCUGUUCUGACGGUACCCAAAGAAUAAGCACCGGCUAACUUCGUG
rnacentral:rRNA from 1 species